rnacentral:tRNA from 3 species
GGGCGAUUAGCUCAGUUGGUUAGAGCACCAGCUCGACAAGCUGGGGGUCACAGGUUCGAGCCCUGUAUCGCCCA